CAAGUUAGCUUGUGUAAGAAAUGUUCGUUUAUUUGAAGCCCAGGAGACGGUUUAAAAUAAAGAAAGCAAAACUCCCUUAAAAGUUAUAAAAGGAGUGUUUAAUAAAAGGAUGCAGUAGUAGGCCUUACAAAAGCUUCACAGCUGUGGCUCAAUAGCCCGGGACACGCGUCCACAGGCCACUGACUGAGCGGAGCUCAUCAGUAGUUACUGUCUGGCGGUCCGGAACAAAAGAGAGCUCGAUUUCACAAUCCUUACAUGUUUUAUAGAACCACCCCUUUCCGACCAUACAAUAAACAACUUCAAAAUCAGACGCGCCCCGCUGUCGUGCUCUCAUUGGUUGGUAGCGGGGGGCUGGAUCCUCCUCUAUAGGCUGACGUCGUCGGGGGCGGGUCCUCUUAUGACGUCACCGUCGCCAUCUUGUUAGCGAAGUCCUGGAGCUGUCAUCUACGAUAUUCUAUUAUGCAAUUCUUAGGAGGUUUAUCAGUUAUUAAACAGGCAACUGUAUCAUUGCAGCACCAAUGAGUGAGAGGUAGAGGCGGUGUGUUUAGUAUGCAACUCCACUGGUCCUUCUCCCUCUACUCAUAUAUACAAAACAAUAUUAGCUUUAUGCUAUCUGAGGCUAAAAACAACAUCCUGUAAUACUACCGGAAAUGGACAAAUAUGAUCCGUCCAGAAACAGUGAAUUAUCUUUUAAAGUUCCGCUCUAAUAUAUUGAUUAUUUCUAACACUUGACAACGUGGUUUCUGCCCAAUGUGACUUUAACGUAGCAUUACCAAAAUGUUAGCAAGUUAGCUUGACAACGUGGUUUCUGCCCAAUGUGACUUUAACGUAGCAUUACCAAAAUGUUAGCAAGUUAGCUUGACAACGUGGUUUCUGCCCAAUGUGACUUUAACGUAGCAUUACCAAAAUGUUAGCAAGUUAGCUUGACAACGUGGUUUCUGCCCAAUGUGACUUUAACGUAGCAUUACCAAAAUGUUAGCAAGUUAGCUUGACAACGUGGUUUCUGCCCAAUGUGACUUUAACGUAGCAUUACCAAAAUGUUAGCAAGUUAGCUUGACAACGUGGUUUCUGCCCAAUGUGACUUUAACGUAGCAUUACCAAAAUGUUAGCAAGUUAGCUUGACAACGUGGUUUCUGCCCAAUGUGACUUUAACGUAGCAUUACCAAAAUGUUAGCAAGUUAGCUUGACAACCUGGUUUCUGCCCAAGGUGCCAUCAUUUGCAAGAUGUUAUGUUCUCGUGCUUAAUUUGUGCCUGUCUGAAACCAGAAAUAGUCUUGAGUUAUUUCAACAAUUGCUGAAUUGCAAAGAAAGUCAUUAGGAAGACUGAAGGUCAGCUAACAAGUUUAUUUGCACCCCCUAAAUUAGCCUAUUGGUACCAUAACUCCGUGAGUGUUUAUUAGACAAUUACGUUUUCUAAUAACUUUGCUCUGAUUCUUCAGAGAAUAUUUUGAUGGAUAUUAACAGUUAUUCAACCUUCCUUAAAUUUUACAGAAAAUGCUGCUGCGUGUUUCGUUUGGUGGAGAGCAGAAGUACAUAAAGCUGCCUGAAGUAACAUUUGGUGAUUUCUUGAGAGAAGUGAGUAUUAAAUUUAACAUCGAUGAAGAUAGACGGUUGGACAUCAAGAUCCAUGACCAGUCCAACACAGAGGUCGACGCUGAGGUUUUUGAGGAGGUCGUUAAAGAGUCUCAAGGACCUUUCCUUGUUUCAUUGGCCAAUGAAGCACCUGGUAACCCUCAGUCCACGUCAUCUCCACGCUCUACUGCAUCUGAAGACACAGUGAUCCUCAACUUCUCUUUGUGUGACCCAGCUGAGGAACCAGUUGCAGCCGGAGGAAGUCAACCUAAAAGGCCUUGCCGCAUCAACUAUGAAGCAAAAGCUCUAAUUGAAAAAAUCUUGACGACAAAGCCUGGAGGUGACCGUAUCAUGGAGGAGUAUGCAAAAACAAAAUCCAUUACAGAUUCAACCAGAAGACAGCUAAUCAACAUACUUACCGCAGAGAUGACAGAAAAACAUGGGACAUCUCCGCCCCGGAGUGUGAGAGUGAUGUAUGCACAGGGGAUUGUCGCUCUGUUUCCAUAUCUUGAAGACCCAUCUUCACAGAAUGGCUAUGAUCAUUACUACGAUCCUGAAAGGGGUUCAGGAUACCUUGCAUGGCGGUUGAAGACUAUUCAAAGAAAAGCUGCAGAGGAAAGAGGUCCAGCAGUUAGUAGAUCUCCUAAAGUUGGUGGUCCAGGCCAUGGGCGUACUAGACCCUUUACUGCCGACCAA